rnacentral:rRNA from 2 species
UGCAGUCGAGCGGAACGAGAAGUAGCUUGCUACUUCGGCGUCGAGCGGCGGACGGGUGAGUAAUGCCUAGGAAAUUGCCUUGAUGUGGGGGAUAACUAUUGGAAACGAUAGCUAAUACCGCAUAACGCCUACGGGCCAAAGAGGGGGAUCUUCGGACCUCUCGCGUCAAGAUAUGCCUAGGUGGGAUUAGCUAGUUGGUGAGGUAAUGGCUCACCAAGGCAACGAUCCCUAGCUGGUCUGAGAGGAUGAUCAGCCACACUGGAACUGAGACACGGUCCAGACUCCUACGGGAGGCAGCAGUGGGGAAUAUUGCACAAUGGGCGCAAGCCUGAUGCAGCCAUGCCGCGUGUAUGAAGAAGGCCUUCGGGUUGUAAAGUACUUUCAGUCGUGAGGAAGGUUCAUACGUUAAUAGCGUAUGGAUUUGACGUUAGCGACAGAAGAAGCACCGGCUAACUCCGUGCCAGCAGCCGCGGUAAUACGGAGGGUGCGAGCGUUAAUCGGAAUUACUGGGCGUAAAGCGCAUGCAGGUGGUUCGUUAAGUCAGAUGUGAAAGCCCGGGGCUCAACCUCGGAACUGCAUUUGAAACUGGCGGACUAGAGUACUGUAGAGGGGGGUAGAAUUUCAGGUGUAGCGGU